AACGAACGCUGGCGGCAUGCCUAACACAUGCAAGUCGAACGAUGCCUUCGGGCAUAGUGGCGCACGGGUGCGUAACGCGUGGGAAUCUGCCCUUGGGUUCGGAAUAACUCAGAGAAAUUUGAGCUAAUACCGGAUGAUGACGUAAGUCCAAAGAUUUAUCGCCCAAGGAUGAGCCCGCGUAAGAUUAGCUAGUUGGUGGGGUAAAGGCCUACCAAGGCGACGAUCUUUAGCUGGUCUGAGAGGAUGAUCAGCCACACUGGGACUGAGACACGGCCCAGACUCCUACGGGAGGCAGCAGUGGGGAAUAUUGGACAAUGGGCGAAAGCCUGAUCCAGCAAUGCCGCGUGAGUGAUGAAGGCCUUAGGGUUGUAAAGCUCUUUUACCAGGGAUGAUAAUGACAGUA
rnacentral:rRNA from 1 species